UCCCGCCACUUUCUCGAGCUACUUAUGCUCCCGUCUCCUUCCGUGUUGGUGCGGUCGCCUUGGGAACCCUUCUCUUCGGCUUGGCGGCUGCUGGGUGAGCCGGAGUCUGCGGACAGGCUGUGCUGCUCUGGCUGGGACAGAGGUCUCCUGAAUGCUGCUGCACUCACUCCCCCGGGUUCCUGAGUUGUAGGCCUAUGAUCAGACGAGAAGUUGCAAGAAUAUUUAAGAGUUGGAGCUGAAUCUAAUAUUCAAUAAUGGCAACAGGUGACUUAAAAAGAAGUUUGCGUAAACUAGAACAAGUGCUUCGUUGGCUAAAUUACCCUAAUGAUAUAGAUUAUGCUGGUUUGAUGAAGGGGGACACAGCAGCAUCUUUGCCCAUCAUUAGCUACUCUCUUACCUCAUACUCCCCUUAUGUAUCAGAACUUCUGAUGGAAUCCAAUAUAGAGCUCUUAGCAAAGAAUGAUGUGCGCUUCACAGAUACCGUCUAUAAGCUUCUUCGUGAUCAAUUUGAUUAUAAACCAGUUUUGACAAAAAAGCAAUUUAUGCAGUCUGGAUUUGCUGAAUGGAAAAUUCAAAUUGUCUGUGAUAUAUUAAAUUGUGUGAUGAAAAAGCACAAGGAAUUGAUUGGCUCGGACAAGACUUCAUCUUGCCAAAGAAAGAAGAACAUCUCUGAAAAACCAGAGCCUUGUUCAAGCAGUGAGAACCCCCCUGCAGAGGCCAUUGGCAUUGACAUCACUGGCAGGUUUCUGACUUCAGGGAAGAAGAAAGCUGUGGUGAUCCGUCACCUGUAUACUGAAGAUAACAUUGACAUUCCUGAAGGGACAGUAUGUUCAACAGAAGUGAGUGCAGAGUGUGAUGAUUUAGAAGGGAAGUGUUCUGAAGUGAUGAUUGCUGAUGAACAGGCCUCUGAAGUCAAGGCUGAGCUGAAAGAAGUAUGUGAUAAUCCUGAGAUUAUUGCACUUCAGAUGGCACUUGCUGAAUGCCAAGAAAAGCUUAAGAAGCUGGCUUGGGUAGAGAGAAGGCUUGAGUGUCUGGAAGCUACAACAAAAGGAAAAGUGAUGGUGGAUGAGAAGGCCUGGAAUAAUCUCCUAAGUCGAGUCACUGUUCUUGAAACAGAGAUGCUUUUGUCUAAAAAGAAUGAAUGUGUAGAGCUUAAUGCAGCAAGUGAAGACUAUGACUCUGUUAGUGGCACAGAUAUUAUAACCUUUGAUAAAAAAUAUAGUGUGGGGACACCAGCCAGUACUUCUGGCUAUAGUACAAUAUCAUCGGACUCAAUGCCCAGGGGCUCCAUUGUUCAUUACUGUGGCUUGAAAGAUUUUUCAGAGGUUCUGUGUGUUGACUAGUCACCUUGUGCAGUGUUUCAGAGUGUUUUCUGUAUUCAUGGUCCAUCUUUGAGGGUUGUUUACUUUGAGAAAUCGCCUAAAUUUGUUGCUUUUUAAAUUAAAGGAAACAACAAUCCAGAAAAUGGAAAGGAUGAAAAAAAUACCUUGAAAGUCUCAGUCAGGUGUGGAAUUUCCUUCAAGACUCCAGUGGAUAAUAAAUCUCCUUCCAGUAGUGUGUGUGAGAUGAGUCACUGUUUUGUUUCCAGCAAAUGGUGUAAAGCACUGUUUACAGAAUUAAUCAUGGGUUACAAAGGGCAGAGAUGCUUUGGUUGUUAAUUAAUUCAGAUUUCUCUAUGUCUGAUAAUUGAUUUACCAAAACAUUAUGUGUAUGUAGAUGGGUAGUUGGGAGGCAUUCGCAAUAUUAUGUUAGGCUUGCCAGCGUUUCCAAUGAGCUAUUGCUGCAUAUGACUAACAAUGUUGCUUUUACUGGAGACAAAUAACAUUGCAUCUAGUUUUAACAAAGAGUAGUUUAAAGGAAAUAUAUGAUGAAAUGGUAUCAGAAUAUUAUACCCCCCACUACUGUAAAAAAGUACAAAGUUCUUUGACAUUUGAAAAAUUCUAAAAUAACUCAUGCUACAAGAAUUGGCUAAUUUAUGUUUGCUGUCUUGUAUUUACAUGUAUUAAUAGUAAUUACACUAGAGUCAAGUUCAUGUUAGGCUCAGAAGCAUGUAUAUGACAGCUUCAGUCCUGAUCUCCACUAUGAGCUCUGUACUUUGCUGACAUGUGAUUUGUUUCAUUUCAGGUUUGAAGAGACUGCAGAGCUACUGAAAUGCUCAAAUCCCUAACUGUAGAGUUUUUGCAUGAACAUCUCUAGGACUUUGGCUACUUACAUAUGCUAUAUUUAAGAACUCCUUGUAUAAUUUUAAUAUACUAUAAUAUUUUAUUAAGAAUUUGAAUUCAAUUUGGUAUGUGAGUUUCUUUCAUUCCUAAAUAAAUACUUUUUAAUAUUGUAA